rnacentral:ncRNA from 12 species
GGGUGCAGUCCCGGCACUGCAGGACAACGGAUGGUCGGGCCGCCAUCC